rnacentral:rRNA from 1 species
CGAGCACGCGCGUGUGGCAUAUCAAUAAGCGGAGGAAAAGAAACUAACAAGGAUUCCCUUAGUAACGGCGAGUGAAGCGGGAAGAGCUCAAAUUUGAAAUCUUCAAGGUUCUACCUUGACGAAUUGUAGUUUAUAGAAGUGUUUUCUGUUAGUGGAGUGGCAAAAGUUCUUUGGAAUAGGACAUCAUAGAGGGUGAGAAUCCCGUAUUUGGUCAUUCCUCCUAGCGUUGUGAUACACUUUCAACGAGUCGGAUUGUUUGGGAAUGCAGUCCAAAAUGGGUGGUAAAUUUCAUCUAAAGCUAAAUAUUGGCGAGAGACCGAUAGCGAACAAGUACCGUGAGGGAAAGAUGAAAAGAACUUUGAAAAGAGAGUUAAACAGUACGUGAAAUUGUCAAAAGGGAAGCGUUUGACACCAGUGUUGUUUUUCCGAAAAUCAAUUACGAAUGUUUUGUUUUUGAGGAGUUAUGACUUCAUCGGCUUGCUCCUUUCUUUAUGAAACUUUCUUAAUGCACUUUUCGGUUAACAAGUCAACAUCAAUUUCUUUUGUUGUAAAAGGGUAUGAGGAAGGUGGCUUUCUUUUCGGAGAAAGUGUUUAUAGCCUUGUGCCUCUGCAAUCGGAGAGAUUGAGGUCUGCAGCGUAGAUCCUUCGGGGUUAGAUACGUUUGUGCUAAGUUAUAGCUUUUCAUAGACAACUUGUUGACUAUGUUUAGUCUUGUAGCUUACUCGCUGACGCUAUUUUACCUACGCUUAGGAUGUUGAACUCUAUCACACACAG